rnacentral:rRNA from 1 species
AUGGACGCGCGCAAAGCCGCCACGGCGAUCUUGUACCGGUGCCUCGCCUCGUCGAGCGAACCGCCAGAGCCCCCCGCGGCUCCCCCCAUGGCAUCAGCGUCGGAGUCGGCGGAGUGGGGUGGCGGGGGAGCUGCGUUUUGGUGGUGGGGAUGCUGGGAGGCGGCGGAAGCGGCGGUGGCUGCGGCGGAGGAGGACCAGAGCGCGGGGUUGCAGAGCUCGUCGUUCAUGGAGGAAAGGAUCUGGAAAGCGGAGGCGAUCGUCUCCUCGAGGUGCCGCUGGCCCUCCGCCGCCAGCUCCUGCCUCCGCCGAGCUGCGACUGAGGCCAUUAGUUAA